rnacentral:pre_miRNA from 1 species
CUGGCGUCCGUGCUGGGGAGCUGCCCGCGGGGCGGGCUUCCACUCCGGCCCCUCUUGGGGUCCACACUCUCACUCCGAGCCCG